AGGAAACAAAACACAGACUGAAGAAAACACUGUGGAUAAUGAUGAAGAUGAAGGUACAGUGAACUAUGAAAACACUGGAGACUCUUCUGCUUCUGUCAGACUCCACUGACCAACAACUUCAACAUCAACUGAUCACAGAAAUGAAUCCACUGAUUUUUUUUAAACAUUUCCAUUUUGAUUUUAUUUAAUAUUUUGAAGCCAAAUCUUUUUCAUGUGCAGUUAGUUAGCUAGUUAAAAAUAACUUAAACUCUGUGUGUCUGAAACUGUUUGUCCACUUACAUAAAGAAAAGACUCUCAGACUGGGAAUGUUGCAUUCAGAAGGUUGACUGAGAAGUCGAGUUUUGAUGAAAUAAACUGCUUCAGACAUGAAGGGGGAGGCCAACAUAAUCAGUUUAACAGAUUCUUUGUUGCUCUUUAAAUUUAUUUUGAUGUAUUUGAUUGUUACUCUUUAUCUUUAUUUAUGGCACAGUAACCAAUGUUGUUUUCAAUUUUAUGACUUUACUGUCAUCUGUAACUAUUUGUCUUUAUUUUGGCUGUAUAAGAAUGAAUUUUUUUUAAAGAUUGA